UACGGAGGGGGCUAGCGUUGUUCGGAAUUACUGGGCGUAAAGCGCGCGUAGGCGGACCUGCAAGUCGGGGGUGAAAGCCCGAGGCUCAACCUCGGAACUGCCUUCGAUACUGCGGGUCUCGAGUCCGGGAGAGGUGAGUGGAAUUCCUAGUGUAGAGGUGAAAUUCGUAGAUAUUAGGAAGAACACCGGUGGCGAAGGCGGGGUCUCUGGGCCGA
rnacentral:rRNA from 1 species